CCAACAUUACCCCCUAGUUUUUUAGUUAAACAAGAUGUUUAAUGGAAAACUAUAUAUGAUUCAUGAUAUUUAGGAUUUAAUAAAGGCCCAAAGAUAGGAAACAAGUGGAUCAUACCCACUUUUAAUAUACGAAGUGGAAUAAGGGAGGACUGGAUAGUGGAUAUCCAGAGCAAUAAGCCCAAUUUGAUAAAGGAUUUGAAUUUGAACGGGAUGGGCCAAUAAGAUAGAGAUCCAACAGUCAGGCCCAAUUUGAUAAGAUAGUCAAAGGUCAUCCAAACGUAUUCCACUUUAAUUCCCAUUAUUACUGACAUUAAAUACGCCGGCC
rnacentral:lncRNA from 1 species